rnacentral:rRNA from 1 species
UUGCGCACUCCUACGGGAGGCAGCAGUGGGGAAUAUUGCACAAUGGGCGCAAGCCUGGAUGCAGCCAUGCCGCGUGUAUGAAGAAGGCCUUCGGGUUGUAAAGUACUUUCAGCAGUGAGGAAGGUGGGUAUGUUAAUAGCAUACUCAUUUGACGUUAGCUGCAGAAGAAGCACCGGCUAACUCCGUGCCAGCAGCCGCGGUAAUACGGAGGGUGCGAGCGUUAAUCGGAAUUACUGGGCGUAAAGCGCAUGCAGGUGGUUUGUUAAGUCAGAUGUGAAAGGCCCGGGGCUCAACCUCGGAAUUGCAUUUGAAACUGGCAAACUAGAGUACUGUAGAGGGGGUAGAAUUUCAGGUGUAGCGGUGAAAUGCGUAGAGAUCUGAAGGAAUACCGGUGGCGAAGGCGGCCCCCUGGACAGAUACUGACACUCAGAUGCGAAAGCGUGGGGAGCAAACAGGAUUAGAUACCCUGGUAG